CCCUGGCUGGCUCUGUCGGUGGAGCGUACGACUCUUGAUCUCAGGGUUGUGGGUUUGAGUCCCACGCUGGGUA
rnacentral:tRNA from 1 species